UACGUAGGGUGCGAGCGUUAAUCGGAUUUACUGGGCGUAAAGCGUGCGCAGGCGGCCCGUUAAGACAGGUGUGAAAUCCCUGGGCUCAAUCUAGGAAUUGCGCUUGUGACUGGCGGGCUCGAGUACGGUAGAGGGGGGUGGAAUUCCUGGUGUAGCAGUGAAAUGCGUAGAGAUCAGGAGGAACACCGAUGGCGAAGGCAGCCCCCUGGGCCUGUACUGACGCUCAUGCACGAAAGCGUGGGGAGCAAACAGG
rnacentral:rRNA from 1 species